rnacentral:rRNA from 1 species
UACGGAGGAUCCAAGCGUUAUCCGGAUUCACUGGGGUUAAAGGGUGCGUAGGUGGAAUGACAGGUCAGUGGUGAAAACCUGCAGCUUAACUGUAGAACUGCCAUUGAUACUGUUAUUCUUGAGUACAUUUGAUGUGAGUGGAAUGUGUCGUGUAGCGGUGAAAUGCUUAGAUAUGACACAGAACACCAAUUGCGAAGGCAGCUCACAAAACUGUAACUGACACUGAGGCACGAAAGCGUGGGGAUCAAACAGG